AUUGAACGCUGGCGGCAGGCCUAACACAUGCAAGUCGAGCGGAUGAAGGGAGCUUGCUCCUGGAUUCAGCGGCGGACGGGUGAGUAAUGCCUAGGAAUCUGCCUGGUAGUGGGGGAUAACGUCCGGAAACGGGCGCUAAUACCGCAUACGGCCUGAGGGAGAAAGUGGGGGAUCUUCGGACCUCACGCUAUCAGAUGAGCCUAGGUCGGAUUAGCUAGUUGGUGGGGUAAAGGCCUACCAAGGCGACGAUCCGUAACUGGUCUGAGAGGAUGAUCAGUCACACUGGAACUGAGACACGGUCCAGACUCCUACGGGAGGCAGCAGUGGGGAAUGUUGGGCAAUAGGCGAAAGCCUGAUCCAGCCAGGCCGCGUGAGUGAAGAAGGUCUUCGGAUUGUAAAGCACUUUAAGUUGGGAGGAAGGGCAGUAAGUUAAUACCUUGCUGUUUUGACGGUACCAACAGAAUAAGCACCGGCUAACUUCGUG
rnacentral:rRNA from 1 species